rnacentral:rRNA from 1 species
CAGCCGCCACGGUAAUACGUAGGGUGUGAGCGUUAAUCGGAAUUACUGGGCGUAAAGCGUGCGCAGGCGGUUAUAUAAGACAGAUGUGAAAUCCCCGGGCUCAACCUGGGACCUGCAUUUGUGACUGUAUAGCUAGAGUACGGUAGAGGGGGAUGGAAUUCCGCGUGUAGCAGUGAAAUGCGUAGAUAUGCGGAGGAACACCGAUGGCGAAGGCAAUCCCCUGGACCUGUACUGACGCUCAUGCACGAAAGCGUGGGGAGCAAACAGGAUUAGAUACCCCCGUAGUCCCUGUCUCUUAUAC